GAUGAACGCUGGCGGCGUGCCUAAUACAUGCAAGUCGAGCGAACGGACGAGAAGCUUGCUUCUCUGAUGUUAGCGGCGGACGGGUGAGUAACACGUGGAUAACCUACCUAUAAGACUGGGAUAACUUCGGGAAACCGUAGCUAAUACCGGAUAAUAUUUUGAACCGCAUGGUUCAAAAGUGAAAGACGGUCUUGCUGUCACUUAUAGAUGGAUCCGCGCUGCAUUAGCUAGUUGGUAAGGUAACGGCUUACCAAGGCAACGAUGCAUAGCCGACCUGAGAGGGUGAUCGGCAACACUGGAACUGAGACACGGUCCAGACUCCUACGGGAGGCAGCAGUAGGGAAUCUUCCGCAAUGGGCGAAAGCCUGACGGAGCAACGCCGCGUGAGUGAUGAAGGUCUUCGGAUCGUAAAACUCUGUUAUUAGGGAAGAACAUAUGUGUAAGUAACUGUGCAAAUCUUGACGGUACCUAAUCAGAAAGCCACGGCUAACUACGUG
rnacentral:rRNA from 1 species